rnacentral:rRNA from 1 species
GACAUAGGUGGCGAACGUUAUCCGGAAUUACUGGGCGUAAAGGGCGCGUAGGCGGGUCGUUAAGUUAGAGGUGAAAGCCCAGGGCUCAACCCUGGAAUUGCCUUUAAUACUGUCGACCUUGAGUAUGGCAGAGGUGUGUGGAACUCCGAGUGUAGAGGUGAAAUUCGUAGAUAUUCGGAAGAACACCAGUGGCGAAGGCGACACACUGGGCCAUUACUGACGCUGAGGCGCGAAAGCGUGGGGAGCAAACAGG